rnacentral:rRNA from 1 species
GACAGAGGAUGCAAGCGUUAUCCGGAAUGAUUGGGCGUAAAGCGUCUGUAGGUGGCUUUUUAAGUCCGCCGUCAAAUCCCAGGGCUCAACCCUGGACAGGCGGUGGAAACUACCAAGCUGGAGUACGGUAGGGGCAGAGGGAAUUCCGGGUGGAGUGGUGAAAUGCGUAGAGAUCCGGAGGAACACCAAAGGCGAAGGCAGUGUCCUGGGGAGUACCUGACGCUCAGGUGCGAAAGCCAGGGGAGCGAACGGG